rnacentral:rRNA from 1 species
AAUGAACGUUGGCGGCGUGGAUUAGGCAUGCAAGUCGUACGAGAAUCGUAGCAAUACGAGGAAAGUGGCGGAAGGGAGAGGAUUACGUGGGAAUCUACCCUCAGAACUGGGAUAGCGGCGGGAAACUGCCGGUAAUACCAGAUAAUGUCUGUGGACCAAAGGUGUGAUUCCGUCUGGGGAUGAGCCCACGUCCUAUUAGCUAGUUGGCAGGGUAAUGGCCUACCUAGGCAAUGAUGGGUAGCGGGUGUGAGAGCAUGACCCGCCUCACUGGGACUGAGAACUGCCCAGACACCUACGGGUGGCUGCAGUCGAGAAUCUUCGGCAAUGAGCGCAAGCUGGACCGAGCGACGCCGCGUGCGGGAUGAAGGCCUUCGGGUUGUAAACCGCUGUCGUAGGGGAGCAAGAGAUGAGGGUACUCCCUCUGAUUUGAGCGAUCCUAGGAGGAAGGACGGGCUAAGUUCGUGCCAGCCGCCGCAGUAACAC